UACGAAGGGGGCUAGCGUUGCCCGGAAUUGCUGGGCGUAAAGGGCGCGUAGGCGGACAGUUUAGUCAGAGGUGAAAGCCCAGGGCUCAACCUUGGAAUUGCCUUUGAUACUGGCUGUCUUGAGUUCGGGAGAGGUGAGUGGAAUGCCGAGUGUAGAGGUGAAAUUCGUAGAUAUUCGGCGGAACACCAGUGGCGAAGGCGACUCACUGGCCCGAUACUGACGCUGAGACUCGAAAGCAUGGGGAGCAAACAGG
rnacentral:rRNA from 1 species